rnacentral:sRNA from 1 species
CCAGGCAGGACUCCCAAGGGGAGGAGGCUGAGCCCCUGCCAGCCUCACCAGAAGCCCCAGCCCACUCUCCUAAGGCCAGAUGUGUAGCUUCGGGUAUCAGAGGAGGCUGACCUGGCCCCCAUCCCAAGUUACAAGAACUUCAGUGAGACUAAGGGACCCCCAUCCUAGGGAUCUUGUCAGGGUUCCUUACUGACCAGAGGAGCCCGCAGCAAUCUCCACAGCUUCCUGGGUCUCACCCCUUUCAUGGGCUCUUCAUCAGGACACUUCCCUCUCUUUUGGGAGCUUCUCUGGGCAGAAUUGGGCUGGGACCUCUCUCCCCAACUGCCCUGCUCUCCUCAUACUCACCGGUUUGACCAGAAAUUCUCCAAAUCCAUCCAUAGAUGGCUGCUGGGUGUGCAGCAGGAGAAGGAGGAUGGUCAGCCUUGGAGCAUCUCUCAAUUACGGGACAGUCCCUCUUUGGAAGCAGGCUCCUGUGCUUUCCUGUGUUAAUAAACAGUAAUAAUCCUUUCCAUCUCUGCA